rnacentral:rRNA from 1 species
GCAACUUGCCCGUUUCAGGGGGAUAACCCGGUGGAAACGCCGACUAAUACCCCAUAGUAUUGCGAGAAGGCAUCUUUUUGCAAUUAAGAAUUUCGGAAACGGAUAGGCUCGCGUGACAUUAGCUAGAUGGUGAGGUAACGGCUCACCAUGGCGACGAUGUCAGGGGUUCUGAGAGGAAGGUCCCCCACACUGGAACUGAGACACGGUCCAGACUCCUACGGGAGGCAGCAGUGAGGAAUAUUGGUCAAUGGUCGAAGGACUGAACCAGCCAUGCCGCGUGAAGGUGACGGCCCUAUGGGUCUUAAACUUCUUUUGUAAGGGAGCAAUAAGAUCUACGUGUAGAUUGAUGAGAGUACCUUACGAAUAAGCAUCGGCUAACUCCGUG